UCCUGAACGGUAGAAAGAAAAUAAAAAGCGAGCGAGUGAGAGAUCACUCGUUGAUGUCCACUUUCAAAUACCAAACUUGAGUAAUCUCUCUUUUUAAUUUCAUUUUUCCCUUUCUUCCGUUAAGAGAACGUUAAAGGAGACGAAGUUUUUUAUUUGGGGUUCGAAAAUCAACGAGGAAAAUUGUUAUUGUUACAGAUACGGGAAAUAUGGCUGGAUCAGACGAGAACAAUCCUGGAGUCAUCGGGCCCUCUCAUCUUCAAGGGGGUUUGCGAGCUGGCAGAGGCGGGAAGUUCGUGGCGGCGACCGGGCAGAAUCGAGACGUUGGGCCCAGUUAAUCGAGACUUAGUUGGAGCUCCACCUUUCCCUUGUGCUGUCAA